GGGUCAAAUCUCUGUUUAGAUAUUUAAUUCGUAUUAUUGAUCAGCUUGGAUCAUUUCAGUAGAUCAAGAGGAAAGUGAAGAAGAUGACCUCAUCACUCAUGUCAUCAUCAAGAUAUCAGCUCAUCGAGAACAACCUGUCAAAGAAAGACGAGAUAUUGAUUUUGUAGUUGUGGUCUACUCAGCAGUGAGAAGUGAAGACGUCAGUUCUGGACAAACAACCAUCAGAACAAGCAGGCCCAGACUUUAAACCAGAGCCAGACGUCGUCUACUCUUCACUGAAGUAGUCCACCAGUCCAACCACUGACGUCCAGCUGCUGGUCUCUAACUGGUCCCCCCAGCACCUCAGACCAGAGUAAA